AUUGAACGCUGCGGCAUGCUUUACACAUGCAAGUCGAACGGCAGCGGGGUAGUGCUUGCACUACUGCCGGCGAGUGGCGAACGGGUGAGUAAUAUAUCGGAACGUACCGAGUAAUGGGGGAUAACCAAUCGAAAGAUUGGCUAAUACCGCAUACGUCCUGAGGGAGAAAGCGGGGGAUCGCAAGACCUCGCGUUAUUCGAGCGGCCGAUAACUGAUUAGCUAGUUGGUGGGGUAAAGGCCUACCAAGGCGACGAUCAGUAGCGGGUCUGAGAGGACGAUCCGCCACACUGGGACUGAGACACGGCCCAGACUCCUACGGGAGGCAGCAGUGGGGAAUUUUGGACAAUGGGGGCAACCCUGAUCCAGCCAUGCCGCGUGUAUGAAGAAGGCUUCGGGUUGUAAAGUACUUUUGUUAGGGAAGAAAAGGGAAGUGCUAAUACCACUUUUUGCUGACGGUACCUAAAGAAUAAGCACCGGCUAA
rnacentral:rRNA from 1 species